CUUGACCGAGCCGAGCCACAGCGGGCGUUCCUCGGUGUGCUCCGCGCCGUAGGUGGCGAUCAGGGCCUGCGCCUC
rnacentral:antisense_RNA from 8 species